GAGUCUGGAUAUCCAGACUCCGACUCUAUAAAAUAAUAGAAUAAUUGCACAUCUUCUGAAUCACCAACUCCUACAUACCCAGUUUCAAGUUGAAAAGGAAGGGGUCCUUUAAAACCUGGAAGAAACUUCACUGGUGAACCAGCUAUUGCAGGCUCUGCAACAACAAGAACCAAAAAUAAAUAACAUAGCUCUGUUUUUGUCAUAUUUCUUCUACAAC
rnacentral:misc_RNA from 1 species